UACAGAGGUCCCAAGCGUUGUUCGGAUUCACUGGGCGUAAAGGGUGCGUAGGUGGUCGGGUAAGUUUGAGGUGAAAGCCCCGGGCUUAACCUGGGAACUGCAGUGAGGACUGGAUGGCUGGAGUGUGGCAGAGGGGGGUGGAAUUCCACGUGUAGCAGUGAAAUGCGUAGAGAUGCGGAGGAACACCGAUGGCGAAGGCAGCCCCCUGGGCUAACACUGACGCUCAGGCACGAAAGCGUGGGGAGCAAACAGG
rnacentral:rRNA from 1 species